CUUUAAAAUCUAAAACUUAAUUUUGUUGGCAUUUUUCUAAACAAUUACCAUGUGCUUUGGGGCCAAUAAACUAUGGACAAAGUGGGACAAUUUGUUGUGUUUAAUUCGACUCGUAAUUAGGCUGGUUACACCUAUAUUGUGUGACCAGGUGGGAAAACAUAAGAAUGAACAUAAGAAAGCAGCAGGAAAAAUAAAACAAAAACAAUAAA